rnacentral:rRNA from 1 species
UACGUAGGGCGCAAGCGUUGUCCGGAAUUAUUGGGCGUAGAGAGCUCGUAGGCGGCUUGUCACGUCGGCUGUGAAAACCUGGGGCUCAACCUGGCUGCAGCCGAUACGGGCAAGCUAGAAUUCGGUAGGGGAGACUGGAAUUCCUGGUGUAGCGGUGAAAUGCGCAGAUAUCAGGAGGAACACCGGUGGCGAAGGCGGGUCUCUGGGCAACAACUGACGCUGAGGAGCGAAAGCGUGGGGAGCGAACAGG